CACCUGAGAAAGGCCUUAGCUGAAAGCCUUUGGAAAAAUGACCUCUGAAUUGAGGCACCUGAGCAAGGCAGUGUAUAUUGCAGAAGAGCAUAGCGGGCCAGUGUGGCCUGAGUCCCUGACUGCAACUCCGUCCUGAGACGGCAGCGUGUUGGCUGUGCCCCAGCUCAGUGUAGCGAGGACAGCUUUCUGCUCCUGAGGCCUGCUAGUGCCUUUGGGCUUCCCGGUGAAAUCCUCUUCGGAUAGCAUCUGUCUUUCAGACCUGUCAGUCAUAACAUACUGACAUGCUGAGCCCUAAUGGUGUGUUGAAACCUGGACUUUCACAAAGGCUUUCUCAUCUAUGGGUGAUUGCCUAAGUCAGUGUUUCCAGGGGCUCUGGGACCCUGGCCAGGAGAGGCUGGAGCUGGUUCACAGGCCACUGGAGGGUCCACAGCCAGGAUCAAGUUCUGUCUGCAAAUUACCCAAUGCAAGGAUGGCCAAGAUUCCUUCCAGGUGCCUUGGUGUAUGGUGCUGGAUUCCACAGAUCCCUCAAAGGCACUUUUGUCUGCGGAUGGAUGCCAAAUUUUUAUGUGGCAGGGGGACAAAAAAGGGACAUCUUAUGCUACUGUGAUGCUGACAUCAGCUUUAUGUUUUAUCUUAAUUGUUGAACUUAUUGUCGCAAAAUUAUCUACAGUACUAUUAUCUUAUCCUGUU
rnacentral:lncRNA from 1 species